CCUACGGGAGGCAGCAGUGGGGAAUCUUCCGCAAUGGGCGAAAGUCUGACGGAGCAACGCCGCGUGAUCGAAUGAAGGCCUUCGGGUUGUAAAGAUCUGUUGACAGGGACGAAUAAGCAAUGCGAAUAGUUUUGUGUAUGACGGUACCUGUUUAGAAAGCUCCGGCUAACUACGUGCCAGCAGCCGCGGUAAUACGGAGGGAGCAAGCGUUGUCCGGAAUUAUUGGGCGGAAAGGGCUCGUAGGUGGGCGCGUAAGUCAGGUGUGAAAACGCCGGGCUCAACCUGGAGACUGCACUUGAAACUGGUGGUCUUGAGGGCAGGAGAGGAAAGUGGAAUUCCUAGUGUAGCGGUGAAAUGCGUAGAUAUUAGGAGGAACACCAGUGGCGAAGGCGACUUUCUGGACUGUACCUGACGCUGAGGCGCGAAAGCGUGGGUAGCGAACGGGAUUAGAUACCCGUGUAGUC
rnacentral:rRNA from 1 species